ACGAACGCUGGCGGCAGGCUUAACACAUGCAAGUUGAACGGGAUUUGUAUGGUGCUUGCACCAUGUAAUGAGAGUAGCGCACUGGUGAGUAACACGUGGGAACAUACCUUGAAGUGGGGGACAACAGUUGGAAACGACUGCUAAUACCGCAUAAUCCCUGAGGGGGAAAGAUUUAUCGCUUUAAGAUUGGCCCGCGGAAGAUUAGGUAGUUGGUGGGGUAAAGGCCUACCAAGCCGACGAUCUAUAGCUGGUCUGAGAGGACGAACAGCCACAUUGGAACUGAGACACGGUCCAGACUCCUACGGGAGGCAGCAGUGAGGAAUAUUGGGCAAUGGAGGAAACUCUGACCCAGCCAUGCCGCGUGAGUGAAGAAGGUUUUCGAAUUGUAAAGCUCUUUCGGAUGGGACGAUGAUGACGGUACCAUCUAAAGAAGCCCCGGCAAACUUCGUGCCAGCAGCCGCGGUAAUACGAAGGGGGCAAGCGUUGUUCGGAAUUACUGGGCGUAAAGGGUGUGUAGGCGGAUUUGUAAGAUAGUGGUGAAAUACCUGAGCUCAACUUAGGAAUUGCCAUUAUAACUAUAGAUCUGGAGUGACAGAGAGGAUAUUGGAAUACCCAGUGUAGAGGUGAAAUUCGUAGAUAUUGGGUAGAACACCAGUGGCGAAGGCGAGUAUCUGGCUGUCAACUGACGCUGAGGCACGAAAGCAUGGGGAUCAAACAGGAUUAGAUACCCUGGUAGUCCAUGCUGUAAACGAUGAAUGCUAGUUGUCGGCAAAAGCCGGUGACGCAGUUAACGCGAUAAGCAUUCCGCCUGGGGAGUACGGUCGCAAGAUUAAAACUCAAAGGAAUUGACGGGGACCCGCACAAGCGGUGGAGCAUGUGGUUUAAUUCGAAGCAACGCGAAGAACCUUACCAGGUCUUGACAUCCCGAUGAAAAACCCGUAACGGGGUUCCCUCUUCGGAGCAUCGGAGACAGGUGGUGCAUGGUUGUCGUCAGCUCGUGUCGUGAGAUGUUGGGUUAAGUCCCGCAACGAGCGCAACCCCUGCUACCAGUUGCCAUCAAGUAAAGUUGGGCACUCUGGUGGGACUGCCGGUGACAAGCCGGAGGAAGGUGGGGAUGACGUCAAGUCAUCAUGGCUCUUACGAGUUGGGCUACACACGUGCUACAAUGGCAACUACAGAGAGGAGCUAAGUCGUGAGGCUGCGCCAAUCUUAAAAAGUUGUCUCAGUUCGGAUUGUUCUCUGCAACUCGAGAACAUGAAGUUGGAAUCGCUAGUAAUCGCGGAACAGCAUGCCGCGGUGAAUACGUUCCCGGGUCUUGUACACACCGCCCGUCACGCCAUGGGAGUUGGUUCUGCCUGACGGCGUUGAGGUAACCUGAGCAAUCAGGAGCCUGGCGACCACGGUAGGGUCAGCGACUGGGGCG
rnacentral:rRNA from 1 species